UCUGUCAGCAGAAAGCAGUAAACAGUCCUGUGGCGCCUUUUAGACUGACAGAUGUAUUGGAGCGUGAGCUUUCAUGGGUGAAUA